GCUGUUCAAUACAUUUUUUUACUUUCUGGGUCAGACUGUAGAUCAGGGGUUGCAAACUCAAAUGACCUGGAGGCCAAUGAGCAUUGAGUCUGGCAGGACGUGGUCAGUCAAGAAAGUCCAACUUUUUGGGAAAAAGCAACUGUUCAGUAAGGGAAAUAAACUGGAGAACUGGAUGUGGCCCGUCGACCGCAAGUUUGAGAUCUCUGCUGGAGAUUGCAACCAACUGAGGACACCUCUGCUCAUCCUCAUGAAACCAACCCCACAGAGUGGGAGUGAAGUAUUGUUUUUAGUGGCUCAGUGUGUCUGUCUGUUUGUGCUUCCAAACUUGCACUUGCCAAUAUGACCAACAGAGGCCGACAGAGGCAUGUUGCAUGAAUGGGGUGAAGUCUGCUAUCUCUGAUUGCCUUGUUUUCUGUUUGCAUUUCAAACUUCCACUUCAAAAAAGUGAGUGGCACACUCCAUAAAGCAGGACCCGUGACAAAAGUACAUAGAAAAUGGUAAUUUGAAGGCUAUGAAAAAAUAUUAUUUUAUGUGCUUAUCCAAACAAACUUCUGUCAAUAAACACUGCUGAAUGUUACAACCUGGACCUUUAAGGAUGACAACCCAUUGCUACACAGUUCACGAUAUAAAUCAUGAUUACAAGGAAUUUGUGCACAGUAUCAGUGUUUCUAUUAAUUUCCUUAAUUUCUCUUUUUUAAAAUUAUAUUUUAUUGUUUAUUGAUUUCAUGUAUGUAUUUAUUUGUUACUGCUGCUUGUUUAAUAUUUCCCAUGUCCAUUAACCUUUUUUGCUUUCAGCUUCUCCUUCAUUAGAGAUCGCCACAGCGGAGGACCCACAUAUUUGAUUCGGUAGAGAUUUUUUUCCUGAUGCAACCCAUCCCAUUCAUCCCAUUCAUCCCAUUCAUCCAGGCUACAGACCAGUAAGAGAGUAAUGGUGAUUGUAAUGAGUAAUGAACCAGCAACCCCCCGAUUACAAGCACAAUUCCCUUCAACAAAUGUUUGUAAUGACUGUAAAUGGUAGAUCAUAUUGGCACCUUUUAAAAGGUUAAAGUUGACUUGUAUUUCAAACAGUUUACAUUAUCAUACAAAGCCCUGCCUUUAAAGCUAUUACAGCAGUGACGUGUGCAUUAACACAUUUGAACUCAGUGAUAAUCUUCUUUGGUGUGUGUGAGAUUACGUGUUUCUGGUUUUAUUUUGAAAUGCAGUGGUCUUUACUUCCGCCGCCAACGGAGACAACUGCAGCCGCUUGUCCGCGCGCUUGGAUGGCAUGCGUCAAAUCGGAUCAGGAUCAUCGUAAUGUUUUCAUUUCCGAGGGAUUUUUAUUGUUUAUAUCGUUAAGUCAGAGGCUGUAGACUUCACUCAAGGUGUCACACUGUUGGAAACAACCAACCACACAAAGUGAAGACCGAGGAAAACUUCUAUUAUCAAUAAUUAUUAACCAGUAAAUGCUACAAAUCACAUUGUCUGUGGAUCAUAAUAAAUUACAGCAUGAUUUUCCGA